ensembl:snRNA U6 U6 spliceosomal RNA
GUUACCUUCAUGCAUGCCACAUAUACUAAAAUUGGAACGAUACAGAGAAUUAGCUUGGCUCUUGCACAAGGAUGAUACGCAAAUGCGUGAUAUGUUCCAUGUAUUA